GGGGUCUUAGCUCAGCUGGGAGAGUGCCUGCGUCGCAUGCAGGAGGUCGGGAGUUCGAUCCUCCUAGGCUCCA
rnacentral:tRNA from 1 species